AAGUCGUAACAAGGUAACCGUAGGUGAACCUGCGGUUGGAUCAUUAACAAAACAAGUCUUUGAGACUUAUACUAGGGCUUCGGCUCAAGUUAACACCUGUGCAACUAUAUGUCUUUGGCGAGUGCCUUCGGGGGCUCGUCACUUGUAUUAACACUACUUUAUAUUGACUGAAUCAAGAAUCUAAUUAAAAAACAACUUUUAACAACGGAUCUCUUGGCUCUC
rnacentral:misc_RNA from 1 species